GCAUAGCUCAGCGGUAGAGUAGGUGGCUGUUAACCACUUGGUCGAAGGUUCGAAUCCUCCUG
rnacentral:tRNA from 1 species